rnacentral:rRNA from 1 species
GAUGAACGCUGGCGGCGUGCCUAAUACAUGCAAGUCGAGCGAACGGACGAGAAGCUUGCUUCUCUGAUGUUAGCGGCGGACGGGUGAGUAACACGUGGAUAACCUACCUAUAAGACUGGGAUAACUUCGGGAAACCGGAGCUAAUACCGGAUAAUAUUUUGAACCGCAUGGUUCAAAAGUGAAAGACGGUCUUGCUGUCACUUAUAGAUGGAUCCGCGCUGCAUUAGCUAGUUGGUAAGGUAACGGCUUACCAAGGCAACGAUGCAUAGCCGACCUGAGAGGGGGAUCGGCCACACGGGAACGGAGACACGGUCCAGACUCCUACGGGAGGCAGCAGUAGGGAAUCUGCCGCAAUGGGCGAAAGCCUGACGGAGCAACGCCGCGUGAGUGAUGAAGGUCUUCGGAUCGUAAAACUCUGUUAUUAGGGAAGAACAUAUGUGUAAGUAACUGUGCACAGCUUGACGGUACCUAAUCAGAAAGCCACGGCUAACUACGUG